rnacentral:rRNA from 1 species
UACGUAGGGUGCGAGCGUUACUCGGAAUUACUGGGCGUAAAGCGUGCGCAGGCGGUUUUGUAAGCCAGGUGUGAAAUCCCCGGGCUUAACCUGGGAAUGGCAUUUGGGACUGCAAGGCUUGAGUGCGGCAGAGGAGACUGGAAUUCCUGGUGUAGCAGUGAAAUGCGUAGAUAUCAGGAGGAAUACCGAUGGCGAAGGCAGGUCUCUGGGCUGACACUGACGCUCAUGCACGAAAGCGUGGGGAGCAAACAGG